CCUACGGGAGGCAGCAGUAAGGAAUCUUGCGCAAUGGAGGAAACUCUGACGCAGCCACGCCGCGUGCCGGAAGACGGCCCCAUGGGUUGUAAACGGCUUUUGUUCGGGAAGAAGUACGGGUUUUGAUCUGUAUUGACGGUACCGAUUGAAUAAGCACCGGCUAACUCCGUGCCAGCAGCCGCGGUAAU
rnacentral:rRNA from 1 species